rnacentral:rRNA from 1 species
CAAGCCUGAUGCAGCCAUGUCCGCGUGUAUGUAAGAAGGCCUUCGGGUUGUAAAGUACUUUCAGCAGUGAGGAAGUGGGUAUGUUAAUAGCAUAUUCAUUUGACGUUAGCUGCAGAAGAAGCACCGGCUAACUCCGUGCCAGCAGCCGCGGUAAUACGGAGGGUGCGAGCGUUAAUCGGAAUUACUGGGCGUAAAGCGCAUGCAGGUGGUUUGUUAAGUCAGAUGUGAAAGCCCGGGGCUCAACCUCGGAAUUGCAUUUGAAACUGGCAAACUAGAGUACUGUAGAGGGGGUAGAAUUUCAGGUGUAGCGGUGAAAUGCGUAGAGAUCUGAAGGAAUACCGGUGGCGAAGGCGGCCCCCUGGACAGAUACUGACACUCAGAUGCGAAAGCGUGGGGAGCAAACAGGAUUAGAUACCCUGGUAG